GUAGGUGAAGCUGCGGAAGGAUCAUUGUCGAAACCUGCACAAGCAGAAAGACCCGCGAACCCGUUUACAAACACUGGGAGGACGGCGCUCGGCCAAACACCGGCGCCGUUCCCCCGAGCUCGGCGAGAGCCCGACUCCCCGCGAGUCGGGCUCCAACCGACACCAACAAACCCCGGCGCGGAUUGCGCCAAGGACCAUGAACAAUAGCGCGUCCCAUGCCGCUCGGUUGCCCGAAGUGCGCGUGGGGCGACGUGUCGUUUCGAUACAUUAGAACGACUCUCGGCAACGGAUAUCUCGGCUCUCGCAUCGAUGAAGAACGUAGCGAAAUGCGAUACUUGGUGUGAAUUGCAGAAUCCCGUGAACCAUCGAGUCUUUGAACGCAAGUUGCGCCCGAAGCCUUCGGGCCAAGGGCACGUCUGCCUGGGCGUCACGCACCGCGUCGCCCCCCACCCCAACCAAGGGGCGUGGGGGCGGAUUAUGGCCCCCCGUGCGCUCCCCGCUCGCGGUCGGCCUAAACACAGACCCCGUGGCCGCAAAACGCCACGACGAUUGGUGGUUUACUUGUGGCCUUGUGCCCCGAGCAUCGCGUCGUGGCCUUGGCGGCCCAUGGGAGCUCAAAGGACCCCGAGGAGGACCCCGUCACCCCGAGUGCCGUGGGGAUCUCCUAACCGUUGCGACCCCAGGUCAGGCGGGACUACCCGCUGAGUUUA
rnacentral:rRNA from 1 species